GAUGAACGCUAGCGGCAGGCCUAAUACAUGCAAGUCGAACGGUGUCUUCGGACAUAGUGGCGCACGGGUGCGUAACACGUAUGCAACCUACCUUACAUUGGGGGAUAGCCUUUCGAAAGGGAGAUUAAUACCGCAUAAGACAGUAACUAGGCAUCUAGUAGCUGUUAAAGAUUUAUCGAUGUAAGCUGGGCAUGCGUCCAAUUAGCUAGUUGGUGAGGUAACGGCUCACCAAGGCAAUGAUUGGUAGGGGAACUGAGAGGUCAAUCCCCCACACUGGCACUGAGAUACGGGCCAGACUCCUACGGGAGGCAGCAGUAGGGAAUAUUGGGCAAUGGACGCAAGUCUGACCCAGCCAUGCCGCGUGCAGGAUGAAGGCGUUAUGCGUUGUAAACUGCUUUUAUACAGGAAGAAACGACUCUUGCGAGAGGCAUUGACGGUACUGUAUGAAUAAGCACCGGCUAACUCCGUGCCAGCAGCCGCCGCGGUAA
rnacentral:rRNA from 1 species